rnacentral:rRNA from 1 species
CCUACGGGGGGCUGCAGUGGGGAAUAUUGGACAAUGGGGGCAACCCUGAUCCAGCCAUGCCGCGUGUGUGAAGAAGGCCCUCGGGUUGUAAAGCACUUUCAGCGAGGAAGAACGCCUGGUGGUUAAUACCCAUCAGGAAAGACAUCACUCACAGAAGAAGCACCGGCUAACUCCGUGCCAGCAGCCGCGGUAAUACGGAGGGUGCGAGCGUUAAUCGGAAUUACUGGGCGUAAAGCGCGCGUAGGUGGCUUGAUAAGCCGGUUGUGAAAGCCCCGGGCUCAACCUGGGAACGGCAUCCGGAACUGUCAAGCUAGAGUGCAGGAGAGGAAGGUAGAAUUCCCGGUGUAGCGGUGAAAUGCGUAGAGAUCGGGAGGAAUACCAGUGGCGAAGGCGGCCUUCUGGACUGACACUGACACUGAGGUGCGAAAGCGUGGGUAGCAAACAGGAUUAGAUACCCUGGUAGUC